CUGCAGGGAUGCCAGCUGCAGUGGGGGAGGCGCAGCCAGGGCUGUGCACUCCAUGGAGCUGGCAGGAGCUGGGAACAGG
rnacentral:pre_miRNA from 1 species